rnacentral:rRNA from 1 species
CGGACGGGUGAGUAACACGUGGAUAACCUACCUAUAAGACUGGGAUAACUUCGGGAAACCGGAGCUAAUACCGGAUAAUAUAUUGAACCGCAUGGUUCAAUAGUGAAAGACGGUUUUGCUGUCACUUAUAGAUGGAUCCGCGCCGCAUUAGCCAGUUGGUAAGGUAACGGCUUACCAAGGCAACGAUGCGUAGCCGACCUGAGAGGGUGAUCGGCCACACUGGAACUGAGACACGGUCCAGACUCCUACGGGAGGCAGCAGGC